rnacentral:rRNA from 1 species
UACGUAGGGGGCAAGCGUUGUCCGGAUUUAUUGGGCGUAAAGAGCGUGUAGGCGGCCAUACAGGUCAGCUGUGAAAACUCGAGGCUCAACCUCGAGACGUCGGUUGAAACCGUGUGGCUAGAGUCCGGAAGAGGAGAGUGGAAUUCCCGGUGUAGCGGUGAAAUGCGCAGAUAUCGGGAAGAACACCCGUGGCGAAGGCGACUUACUGGACACAUACUGACGCUGAGGUGCGAAAGCGUGGGGAGCAAACAGG